rnacentral:rRNA from 1 species
GAGGCUGCUUGCUGCUAACACGCGGAAACAUGAGACGAGAUGAGACGACCGCAAGUCGUUCCGGGUCUCUCUGCGGCGACUAGACUACAGUGGGUCUCCUCCCAAUCUGCGACGGCGACGGCGACAGCGCCAAAGCAUUCGCUCAGCAGCGGUGAAGAGUUGCUGUUCGGUGUUGCGGAUGAUGCUCUUCUUCAGCUCCUGCUCUUGAUUGAGCCAAGCCAGAACUGGAUCUUUUCUUCACUAGUUCACCUUGCGUAACUGUUGCAAAGGACUUAGCACAUUGGAUUUGAAGGAGCUGUCAUUCAAGAAUUUCACGGCAAGGACAAAGCUGUAGCCGUCUGUAGAUCCAGAGCAAAGGCAAAAAAAGGUCGAGAUAUGGAGGUCGCUGCUGGGGCGAUGGGCCCCGUCAUCCGUAAGCUCGGCGAGCUGCUCGUCGGAGAAUACAACCUAGAGAAGCGAGUAAAGAAAGGCGUACAAUCGCUCCUAGACGAGCUGGAGAUGAUGCACGCCGUACUUCGCAAGGUUGGCGAGGUGCCGUCGGAACAGCUCGAGGAGCCGGUCCGGAUUUGGGCUGGCAAGGUGAGAGACCUGUCUUGCGACAUGGAAGACGCUGUUGACGACUUCAUGGUGCGUGUGCAUGAGGGUUCAAGCAGCAAGCCUACGAACAUGAGGAAUCGAGUCAAGAAGUUUCUCAAGAAGACCACCAAACUGUUUGGCAAGGGCAAAGCACUUCAUCAAAUCAGUGAUGCCAUCAAAGAAGCUCAGGAUCUUGCCAAGGAGUUGGCGGACCUGCGUAGAAGGUACGAGCUUGACACUCGUAGCACUAGCAAUGGUGCUACCAUUGACCCUCGUGUGUUAGCUCUGCACAAAGAUGUAGGGGAGCUUGUUGGCGUUGACCGCACAAGGGAUGAGCUUAUCAAAACACUGAUUUGUGAGGAUGGGAGUUCCAAGGAGCAAUUGAAGACGAUCUCUAUUGUUGGUGUUGGUGGGCUGGGCAAGACUACACUCACCAAAGCAAUUUAUGAGAAGAUCAAAGCCCAGUUUGAAUGUGCGGCUUUUGUCCCUGUAGGACAGAACCCUGAUAUCAAGAAAGUUUUCAAGGACUUACUCUAUGACCUGAACAAAGAAAAGUUCAAUGACAUUCAUAAUACAUCAAAGGAUGAAAAUCUCCUCAUCAAGGAAAUCAGAGAAUUCCUUGUGGAUAAGAGGUACCUUAUCGUAAUUGAUGAUAUAUGGGAAGAAGAAAUUUGGAGAUUUAUAAAUUGUGCUUUGUGUAAAAACAAACUCCACAGUCGGGUAAUCACGACAACUCGUAAUGUGAGUGUGUCUGAAGCAUGUCUCUCUUCCAGCGAUGACAUGAUUCACCAAAUGAAACCUCUUUCUGAUGAAGACUCACAGAUACUCUUCCAUAGAAGAAUAUUUCAAAGCGAGGAGAAAUGUCCAGAAGAUUUGCAAGCAGUAUCAAGAGAGAUACUGAAGAAAUGUGGUGGAGUACCAUUAGCCAUCAUUACAAUAGCUAGCCUUCUAGUCAGUAACCAAAGGAUAAAGCAGAAAGAAGAAUGGAUGCAUGUGCACAGUUCGAUGGGCCGUGGAGUUACAGAAGGUGGUAUUGUGAAGGACAUGAAGAGGAUAUUAUCACUCAGCUAUUAUGAUUUGCCAUCCCAUCUAAAGCCUUGUUUAUUAUAUCUAAGCAUCUUUCCUGAAGACUUUGAGAUUAACAGAGAUUUGCUGAUAUGGAGGUGGCUUGCUGAAGGGUUUAUCCAAUGUGACAAAGAUGAAACCAGGCUGUUUGAGAUCGGAAAGAGCUACUUCAACGAGCUUAUGAACAGGAGCUUGAUCCAGCCAGCGGAAACCAAUUAUGAAGGAACAGUAGUAACUUGCCGUAUACAUGAUAUGGUGCUUGACCUUAUAUGCUCGCUGUCAAGUGAGGAGAAUUUUAUCUCCAUAUUGGAUAAUGCGGAGUGGAAUGCACCUAAUCCGCAAAGAAAAUUUCGCAGGUUAUCACUUCAUAAUAUCAAGGCAAAGGUUCAGAACCAUCAGAUUGAAAGCACUAGCCUGUCAAAAGUGAGGACCUUUGCUGUUUUUUCUCCUGUUACCUGUGAUUGGUUGCCAUCUCUCUCAAGCUUUCAAUUUUUGCGUGUGCUGGAUCUUGGAAGUUGUGUUAGCCAUGAAAGUAGCUCUGGCAUCAGCCUCAAGUAUGUAGGGAAUUUAAUUCACCUAAGGUACCUAGGGCUCAAGGAUGCAGAUGUUCGCGAACUCCCAAUGGACAUAGGCAAGCUGCAGCUUUUGCAGACACUGGAUAUAAGAGGCACUAGUAUAAAAGAAUUACCUUCAAGUGUUGUACAGCUCAUAAAUUUGAUAUGCCUAUAUGUCAAUUAUAGGGUGAGGCUGCCAAAAGGAAUGGGAAGCUUGAUGUCCCUUGAAGUGCUGGAAGAAGUAGGCUUAUCCUCAUCUCCUCACAUUGCGGAAGAGCUGAGCCAUCUGACAGAGGUUAGGACACUCAGUAUUGACUGUGCUAACAUGGACGAGGAUCUGAUUGAUAUAUUAAUCAAGUCUCUAGGCAACCUGCACAAAUUGCAAAAUCUGCGUAUUGAUGAUGGUGGCAGAUUGAUAAAUCGCAUGUGUGAAAGCUGGGUGCCCCCUCCAAACCUCCGUAGUUUUGAUUCAUGGAGCCUCUCUUCUUCUUCGUCGUUCUUGAGACUUCCAAAGUGGGUUAAUUCAAGUACGCUUCCCCACCUCUCCCGCCUGGAAAUAGAUGUGGAAGAACUGCAAGGGGAUGACAUUCAGAUCAUUGGGAUGCUGCCUGCUCUUCGGUUUCUGGAGCUGACUGCUGAUCGCGUGAUGGGAAGGUUGGCUGUGAGGGCCGAUGCAUUCCCAUCUGCGAGAAGCUGCAUUUUCAGAGGGUUUCCAAUGGCGUCGUGCCUUUUCCCACCUGGAGCUAUGCCAAGGGUUCAGCACCUUCAGUUCAGAGUCUCUGCACCGUCGAUCGCAAGAGGUGAGGUUGACUGCGGCCUGGGCCACCUCCCUUCUCUCGAGCACAUCAAGGUUGAUCUGCGGCGUGAUAAUUCCAGCCGUGAAGAGCUGGAGACAGCCGAGGCUUGGCUGAGGCGCGCAGCACAAGCCCAUCCAAAACGCCCCACCAUUGAAAUCAGAUAGUGACAUGCCUCUGCUGCCGGUAAGGGCUUCAACAAAAUCCUGGACUCAGGUACUAGUAAUUCCAUCAGUUGCCGUGGAUGCUGUUCCAACAUUCCGAUAGGCAACAAACAAUUUACUGUUUCGCCGCAACUCCCAAUAAACGAAGGCUCAUUCCCUCCAACGUAUGUUCAGAUUCUGCCCUUCGUUAGAUGGAGGCUUCCGCAUAAUUGUUCACGAUAAACUAUUUUUUAUUCUUUCUACAUAUGCUUUCAGAAACGCAGCACCUCCUUUCCUUUAUUAUUCAGUCAAGACUCGUACAAUAAAAGGCUGCAUUCAGUUGGCACUAUUUGUAGCACUACUGCCUCUAUGUGUAUUUGAUUCUUCACAUACAGCAUCGUUUUGUUUUUACCGGCU